ACAAAGUCGCACCGCCUCUCUUCCGCCUCUCCACCAAGCGCUCCAAAACCACCCACCAGCUUCCGCUCUCGGGUCACCGCCGCCACCAACCAUUACCGCCAUGUCUUCUUCAGCACAUUGCUGACCUGUCACGGCCACCGUCGUAGUCUCAUUACCCAAGUUGGCGCGCGCACACACCAUAUACAAAGAGUACCUUUCGGUACUACCUGUGUCACUCGCUUGUCUUGAAGUGGCUUCGAAGGUUCUGUCGAGUUGAAUUUGGAAUUCCCGUUCGAGUGUCGGAUUCAUUUGGGGUGUGUGUUCUGGGAGCAUCCUGAUCCGAUCGGGAGUGGAUUGGGGAUUGGAUUGGUGGUCAAAGCUGCGGGGACGGAUUGUAUCGUGCCUGGUCAAAUCCCGCCCGUUGAAUUGCUCGGUGUCAAGGUCUGGCGAAUUAAUGUUGACCUGAAGUUUUGUGGAACCUGUCGAAAGGGUACUGAAUUUGCUUGGGAAGUUCCUGGAUUCGGCUGUCAACCUCAUGAACAAGUCGUUCAUUGAUCAUUAAGUGCUUCAGACUCUCUUAUUUAGUUUAGAAAUGAGCAUGUGAUUGCAAAUUAACCUUUUUCUCGUUGCGACAGAAUCGUAGAGAGUGGACUACGAAGAGGAAUUUGUUUUUGCUUGUUCUUGUGGACGGACCAUUUUGAUUGACACCUGAGCUAGUAAUUUGAGUAGAUAUUUUGGUCGUGGAAAUGAUGUAUUACAUAGUGUUGCAUUUACAGUUACACAUUUGUGUGAAGGUCUGAUUUUUCUCGAUCUUUCUUUAAUUAAACUAGAGUUGUCUCCAAGAUAUGAGUCGAUAAUAGAUAUACUGUUGUCAAGUAUUUGCAGCUGUCUUACAGAGCAAUCAUCCCUUUCUUUUGGCUCUAAGUUGGGGAUAUCGGCGAAAGAAGUAUCGAUUGUCACUUCGAGGUAAGAUUAUUAUUACUCCUUGGAGAAUCAAAUGUAGAAUCGCAGGGCCCAGCACUAUGCGUGACGGAAUCGGAAACAGUUUGGUUUUCCAAGUAUUUCAAGGAGGACUUACCCUUUGGCCAGGUUGGGCUCUGUAAAGCUACUGACAUCCCUGAUGCUAAUACUAUCUUGAUGAUUGAGGAUCAAAAUGAUUAUCGCAAUUAAAUAACGUUGUGAGUGCUUAUAGCAACCCAAUUCCCAAUGAGGCUUUGGGGAUCCCCAACUGCAAUGCGUCCUUCUCUAGUAUGAACAAUCAUCUCUUGGAUCUUGUAAAUGGUGUUCUACUGUCAGGCCCUCUUACGGUUUUAAUGAAUUGGACAAUAUCAAGUUAGAGGAUUGUCUGAGGGGGCAAUCGCUGGGAAUGCUCCCGAGAACUUCUGCAAUUGCCAAAUUUCCUUUAGCUAGAACUUGUAUCAAUUACAUUUGCCAAUGAAAUAGCUUGGGUUAGGGAGCCCAUCUAUUUAGCUAAUUAUGUUUUUGUUUUGAUCAUGUUCUUUCUGUUAUGCUUCUGGAUCAUUUUUUGCAUUCGUGGUGGAGUUUCGAUAUGCCUAUGCACCAGUUGCUCCUGGUGACCUCUUUAUAUAUGAGGGAGCAGUGUGAUGUGGUUCCUUAUUCCGGUUUUCGUGUCAACUUUGUUUUGUGUAAAAUCUUUGACAUCUUGUGGAUUAAU